AUUCAAUAAAUUUUUUUUUUUUUUUUUUGCUUUUCUUUUCCCAGUUGAACAACCCAAAGCUGCAGUAACUGGGGAUCACUAUCUCCAAGAACAUAAGAGAUCCUUAAAAGGAAAGAGUCACCUCUGAAAUGACUUCCAGUUCAAUACUCCAGGCACUGUAAACCUUCUGAAAUGGUUAUUUUUCAGGGUAAUCAGUUUAGGAAUCAUGACUCACCAAAACUACCUCAACCUAUUUUUCUGAUGCCUGAAAUAUCUUUUAACAAGAGACAUUUCUGUUUUACCGGACUAUGGCAUUUUAUGAAUAGCAGUAGUGAAGACAGAAGAUAUGGAGUCAGAAAUACUCCAUAUUGAAACAGUGCCAUACUAACUUAACGACCAUAGGCAAUUCACUUAAUCUUUUUACAGAUGGUGAAGCACAGUCUUUGUGGUGCACAGUUUUGUUCUCACAAAGCAUAACUGUGUAACCACCACUGGAAUCAAGACAGUACAGGUUUAUUAUCCCCCAAUUCCCUCAUGCUUAGUUAACCCUUCUUUUCCCUGCUUUCUAGCAACUACAGAUCUAUUUUCUGUCACUAUUGUUUGGCCUUUCCCAGAAUGUCAUAUAAACAAAAAUCAUAUAAUGUAUUCAUCAGAUUUUCAUAGCUGUGGCCCAAAUACCUGACAAGAACAAUUUAGGAUAACUUAGAAGAGGAAAAGUCUGAGCUCAUGGUGUCAGAAGUUUCAUUCUAAGACUGUCUGGUUCCAACACUGUAGAUCUAAGGUGAGGAGGGACAUCAUAGUGUAAAGGCAUAGCAGAGAGAAGCUGCUCUGCUCAUGGCAAAGUGGAAGUAGAGAGGAAAGGAGGAGCCAGUGGAGAAGACAUAAUUUCCAAGAGUCGGAUGCUCCAUUGACCUAACUUCCUUCAGUCAUGGUCCACCUGCCUACAGUUAUCACUCAGUUCAUUCAGUCUAGAAUGGACUGAUUAGCUUUCAUCUCAUGACCUAAUCAUUUCAUCUCUGAAUAUUUUUGCAUUAACAAGGAGCUUUGGGGGGACACCUCAUAUCCAUAUAGUGUAUAGCCUUUUGAUUGUGCCUAUUAACAGAAUGUAUUUGAGAUUUAUCAGUGUUGUUAUGUUUAUUCACAGUUCAUUCCUUUUAUUUCUGAUGACUGUUCUACUUUAUGGAGAUACCAUAGUACAUUCUCUAGCUGAAGAACAAUUUGUAUUGUUUCAAGAAGUAUUUGUGAGUGUGUGUGCUUAGGAAUAAAGCUACUAGAAACACACACAUGCAUUUGUGUGUGUGUGUGUGAAAACAUUGUAUUCAUGUCUCUGAGGUAAAUCUCUAGGCAUAUCUGAUUUCUGUCCCCUAUUUUUCCACUCACAAUCAUAUACUUAGGUACCUUUUGACCUCAUUGGGGGGGGAAAUCUAAUGUUCAGAACUACCAAUAACAGGAAGAAGAGAAAAAACGAUUUUUUUUGGAGAAUGAAAUCAUAGAUAGUAAAUUCUUAAGCACAUUCUCCACAUAUGCCGCGUGCUAGUUGGGUAUCUUUUGGAAUCAUUGUUACACGUUUGGCAUGGGUAGCACAAAGGUUGGUGUCUUCAAAAAAGCCAACAAGAUAGGCCUUGCUUGCCUCCUGCAAAGCACCAAUAGUUGCGCUCUGGAAGCGCAGAUCUGUUUUGAAAUCUUGGGCAAUUUCUCGCACCAGACGCUGAAAGGGGAGUUUGCCAACCAGCAGUUCGCUGGACUUCUGUCUGAUAGAGUGUAAUUUCAUGGAGUGCCACAGCACCGGGCCUGGAACGAUGCGGUUUCUUCACCCUUCCAGUAGAGGGUGCCUGCUUGCAAGUCGGCUUUUGUGGCCAGCUGUUACCUGGGUGCUUUACCACCAGUGGAUCUGGGGGGCAGUCUGCUUUGUAUGAGCCACAACAGAAAGACCUUCUUACUUGCCCGCCAUCGGCUGGAGCUCCGUGAGCUAGAGGCGGCGCUGGUGUUAGAGAGUGACAACUGCGUGGUGGCGACUGCGAACACAAUUCCGUUUGCUUAUUUUCUAAAUACAAAUACAGAAUGGACUGAAACCCCCAUAAUUUGCCGCAGUCUGGCUGGGCACAAAUCACCGAGCCACCGCAAAGCACUUGUAUGUUCAAACAGGAAACUUUAUUGCCUGAACUCCAACAGCACUCCAAGCACACUUCCCAGGAACUCUCUCAAAGGCCACCCACGUGGCCCCUCUCCCACACACCACACCAACCGGAACUCCCUCCACCGGAACUUCACCAACCAACACAACUCCCCAGGAAAUCCCUGCAAGAACUCCAAAGUAGCGGGCGCCCCAGGAGGACAGUAGGAGUCUAUAUACAAUUGAAUCAAUCCAGCAUCAUCUUAAUGGCUCGCCUCUCAACCAUUACUUCUGGCAAAAUGCCAGGGGCCAUUCCGACUUGGCUCUCAACAAUAAUUCAUAUUUUGGGGAAUCAUGGGAGCCUGCCUACCCUGUAUUCAGCAGACCACAAAGUUUGGUUCAGGUUCAAAGAUGAGCAAGAACUUAGACUUUGUUCAAUGUUGGUUAUUUUUAUUCACUCCUAAAGCAGCCAACAAAAAGGGAAAAGUUUAGACAUCUAAGGAAGAUAUAGGUAGGGAAGUGUGGCUUCCCAUUGCAUCUCUCACAUCCCGAGGAGGAAUGCUAGAUGUCUAGUUCCUCUUGUUAGCCUUCCCAGAGAGAAGUGCUUCACCUGCCUGGAAAAGAGAAGACCUUUAUACCCCCAGUCAAACCAGCACACACUGUGCUCCUCCACAUUUAGCAAUGAUUCUGCACAUCAUUCAUGUGUAAUAGUUCUGGACCUUGAAGUUCUUUCAGUGACCACGCUGGGGAAAAUCCCUUAUCAACUCCCACUGUCCAGCAAGUCUGUUGGGGAAGUCCAGCCCUAGCUAUCCCAUUCCCUUGUCCCACCUGGUCAGUUGUCCCAACAAACUGUGAGCAUUUAAAGUGAUCCCAAAUCAGAAAUUCUUUUAUGGAUCUUCUAGAUAUACUCUUAACUAUUUAAUAUAUAUGAGAAUACUUUUAACCAAAAAAUAUUUAGUAGCCUGAAAUACCCUUGUUGUCAUACAUAGUUAUUUUGAUUUUUCCUAGUUCAGGCACUAAUUUGAAUAAGUCUCUUCUUUGUUGUUCAGUUACUUCUGAAGGACUGAAAUUAAUUGUACUAGUUUUUAAUAAAUAUUAUGUCUAAUUCUUAAGGAAAAUUAAAUAAUUUGGAAAGUAUACCGAAGCCAAUCUAUGAACAUGAGUUAUUUUAAACUUAAAGUUUUGAGUUUCCUGUACAUGGGGGUUUACUGCAGUUAUUUCCUGCAAAAUCCAGUUCUGUGGCAGAUUCUAAUGGCCUCAUCACAUUCGAGAUUCAGUAGAGUUAAGUGUUACUAGGUUUUCUUUUGCUAGUCGGAAUGAAUGGCAAUCUUUUUUUCAAAUCAUAUCCUUAAGUUCAAAAGCUCAUUUCAUUCACUGAUCUUUUUAAAUUUUUUUGUAACAGUAUUUAAAUUUAACAAAUUGCUGCAUGUGAUUUAUUUUCAAUUUAAUUACAGAGCCAAAAUGCUACAUAUAAUGAUGGAUGUAAGUACCAGUCAAUUCUUCACCCUGAUGGCUUGAGAAAGGCUGUAAAGUGUACCAUAGUCUUUCUAAAUAAUCUCCUAUGAGCCGUCUUUCCCUGCCAUUGAAUCAGUGCUGACAAAUAAAGUAUCAGAAUAGUAACUAAUAAGAGGUCAUGCUUUUGUGCCAAGCCCACCCCUUGCUUCUCUUUCAUAUUGAUGCUAAUGUGAUGCCAUUUAACACAGUUCAAGAAAAUUCAUAAAAUCAGUCUCUGCUUAGGAAGAACCUUUGAUCAAAGAUGGAUAAAUCACAGUGCCCCAGGAAUUGGUUUAAAAUAAGUAGCAGUGUAAUAUAUUUCUUUUUGUUAUGAGUUAAAGCUCUAAAAUGUAUUUUUAUAUUCUAGGGGGGAAAAACUCAGUUCUCUGAAACAAAAUGACAAGUAAAAAAGAAAACAAAACAAAAACCCUGCCCCACCCAUUGAAAACAUCAAUCUUAAUUCUAUAUUAUGCAACUAGUGGGUUCCAAAAUAAAGUUUCAGUUCAUACCUAUUUUCUGAGAGUUAGUCCACACAAGUGAAGUUCUUCCUUGAGUUAGAAGUCUUAUAUCUUUAAAAAAUUUUUAAAUUGAUUUUUAUCAUUGCAUAAUAAUUAUCAUAAUAGUAGGAUUAGUUGUUACAUAUGCCUACAUGCACACAACAUAAUUUCAUUAAUUUUAUUACUGAGUACCUCUCCUUUCUCUCUCCUCUUCCCUUCUCGUACUUUUCUUCCUUUAUUCUACUGGUCUCCCUUCUAUUUUAUUAGAUCCCAUGCCUUUUUCCCUUUUUUUGCUCUCUAGCUUCCACAUUAGAGGCCUUAUGUAUUCUUAAUAUUAUAUAUUUGUAUAUACAUAUAAUCAUGCAAUAUUACAUAAUGUUAAAUAAAUAUAUACCUUACUACAGUACAUAUGCAGGGGUCAUUUUUACUAGCUGUGAGGUCUUGGGCAGGUUAAUUAGCUAUUCUGAGUCUCAGUUUCUUCAUCUAUAAUUUACUUACUUGUUUAUUUAUUUGUUUACACUACUGGGGAUGGAAUCCAGUGACUUGUCUAUGCUAGGCAAUUGCUCUACACUGAGCUACAUCCUUAGCCCUUUAAAAAAACUAUUUUGACACAGGGUCUCACUAAGUUGCUGAGGACAGUUUCCAACUUGUGAUCCUCUACAUCAGCCUCCAAGUAGCUGGGAUUACAGGCAUGCACCAGCAUACCUGCUCUUUAUCUGUAAUUCUGAGAUAACAGUCUUGGGAUUGUUGUGUGGGUUAACCAGAUAUGUGUAAUAGCACUCAGUGGAGUGCCUGGUGUAU
rnacentral:lncRNA from 1 species